CAUGAGAGUACUGUUUCCUCAACUAGUCUGGUUGAAAGAAGAGCCUGGGGUCCUGGACCCCACCUCAGACCAACCAGAUCACAACCUCCAGGUAACAGGCUUGGGAACCCGUGUUUACAGCAAGUGCCUCAGUGAUGCCAUCACACAGGCAAGUCUGGGAGAUGCUGGAAGAGAGGCCACCUCUCUACUCCAGAGAACACAGUAGAUCAGUCCCACAGGGAGUUUGGUCUCCGCUGAGCGGGAAGAGCCUCUUGGCCCAUGACCCGUAGAGUCAGAUCCAUGCCUCCCAGGUCUGUUCCUGGAGAACACAGCUUACUGCCAAAGCAACUGCAAGACUUUGCUGUUGGACUGGACUACAUUUACCAAUAAGAUUCUGGAGAUGAGCGCUACCUGAAGAGCUAGAAAAGGCCCUAGCAGUUUGUUUGUUUGAUUGAUUGAAACCUAGGCCCAACAGUGGACUGCAUUAAACAAAAUAAGGAGGCCAGGACUUCCCUGGCAUAUUGUCAAGGAAGGAAUUCAAAGAUUCAAGAAUAUGAGAAAAUUGAAAGGAAAUUAUUUUGUGUGACCCGCUUACCCACCACCUAUGUCACACCCAGAAGGACUCAGAGACACCCUUUACAAAGGCUUUGAGAAAUGCUUUGGUGAGGGGAGGGCCAGCAGCCUCGGCCAGCCCUGCAAGAAUGACAGUGGGAGAUUCCUAUAAAAUGGGCUUUCUGAUCCAGUGGGAAGGAUGAAAAGCUACAGCAGCGCCUAGCAGCCAGCAGCACUGCCAGCAGACAAGGGGCUGCAGUGCCUGUCAUGCAUGACAGGAGUGAAUGACAGAGAUCACAGUCACUUUUUUUUUUUUUUGAGACGAAAUCUAGUUCUGUCACCCAGGCUGGAGUAGGGUGCCGCGAACUCGGCUCACUCCAAACUCUGCCUCCCAGGUUCAAGUGAUUCUCCUGCCUCAGCCUCCCAAGCAGUUGGGAUUACAGGUGCCCACCACCACGGCCAGCUAAUUUUUGUACUUUUAGUAGAGACGGGGUUUCACUGUGUUGGCCAGGCUGGUCUCGAACUCUUGACCUCAUGAUCCACCCGCCUCAGCCUCCCGAAGUCCUCGGAUUACAAGCAUGAGCCACAACGCCCAGCCACAGUCACCUUUGAAAUGGAACAAACUGGCACCUUCCUAAAGCAUUACUUCAUUUAUAGAGGCAGAGAAAUUCUAGGCUGAUCAGCAGAAGCUGCCUUAGUAAACACAAAAGGCAAUUAUUUCUCUUUCAAUUCCCAGGACUUUGCUAGCUCAUAGGGGCACUGAUCCCUUAUUGAAGACGAGCCCAGGAGCCUUACCAGGUUGACUGUGCAUCUGGGAAAGGGAAACACUAAGACACUGGGGACUUAUUGAACACUAAAUAUAUAUCAAUGCUAAUCUCUAGAACGCGAAACAUCUCUGUGUUCUACCAGUCAGAGCAAAUCCGUAGCUUCUACAGGGAACUAUAAUUUAUGCUUUUGAGAAACCUCUCUGGCUUCCUCCUGGCCUCUGGUAGAGACUGAAGUCUUGGCCAUGGGACACUGGAUGGGUAGGUAACUCAAGUUGCCUCCAUGAACUGGGUGCUGUCUGACCCACCCAGCCACAUGGCUGUGCACGUGCAGGAGGAAUCCAUAGUCGUGUGAAACGUGACUUCCUUCUUUUGUUGUGUAGGGGUCCCUUGGUCAGCGUGAAG
rnacentral:lncRNA from 10 species